rnacentral:lncRNA from 1 species
UUGACCGGUUGUUGAAUCGAUUUUUUCCUUAUAAGCAACGUUGUUUCGUUCUUGUUUCGGCUAGUGGUCCGUUUUAAUUGUUUGCGUAUUACUAGAGUCGAUACAUUAAUCUUUAAUAUGUUAUUUUACUCUUCGCGUCGGUCAUACAUUUCAUCAUCUUUCCGCUAUUUGCUUCACUACGAAAGUGAUCAGAAUGCUGGUUAUUUCCAUCGUCGGACGCAAUCCACCGACGUUGAGUCGUUCUUGCAGAUCUUCACGAAGACUGCAGGAUAGGAUUUGUGGAAUGUUAAUGAAAACAGGCAUCCCUAUACCAAUUUCUGAUUAAACUUUGGAGUGAACAGAGCAUUGGAGGAUGUGGCAAACUGGCUCGUAGACUUUCGACAGGCAAUUCUUUUCCUUUUGAAAAAUCAUGAUGUACAUCCAGCACAAUAUCCUUCAGUUGUUGGUCAAAUUUUGCACAAAAGCGCAGUAAUUUCUGAAGCUUAAAUUUAUUCAAACCUUUACAAUAUCGUACCAUAGAUUUUAAUUUUUUUUAAGUGCUCAUAAAAGAAGACAUUAAUAGAGUAUGCGUAAAGUAUUUAAACUAUAAAUAAAAUGUCUCAUUUAUAUAUAAUAGCCUGGAAAUUGUUUUUCAGUAUAAUAGUUUGAAGGAAUAACAUUUAAUGUCCAUCUCUGUUGGACCAGAGGUCACAGAUGCUCGUUUGCAUGUCGAUGUCCGGUCGCGUGUAUGCGCGAGCCUUGGUCGAGAACAGGGUAGCACGACGUCCGGCAGUUUAGAAGGAGGGUGGAACAGGGAUGAGGGUACUCGCUCAGCCCGGUAAUGGAAUACCUUCGCGAAGGAACGCAAUCACGCUGAUGUUUCGGAACCCCAAGGCUGCCACGAGGGAUUUCUGCGUUCAUGAACAGAUCAGGCCUGCGCGUUCCUCCUUCCUUUCCUGCUCGUUUCUCUAAUUCUUCCUCUCUGUUUCCUCGAUUUGAUCAAUGCGGUGAGUCGAACAGCUCUCUCCAUAGUAUCUUCCUUUGCAUACAUUAAUAGAUACAAUCGUAUCUAUUAUUUCGAAUAAUAAUUUUGAUGAAUUUGCAAUUUCUCAAAGUUUAAUAGAAAUACAGCGAUACAAAGUAUUUACUGAUGCUAUUAUAUUAUAUAUUAUGGUCUCUUUCUCAUGCAGGUCAGUUUUUGACGAAUUUUGUAUUUUUGUACUUUUGCGAAUAUGAAUCAACGAGUCGCUCGAGCUCGCCUCUUCCCAACUUCUUUCUAGCAUUUUUCUCCCUAUGCUGAGCAACAUAACCCAUCUUAUCCCCGGGACACCACUACACACGAGGCGCGAAAUCUUCCUCACUAAGACUCCGUCAAAGUUAUGAAUUCUUUCGAAAAUCUUGGUGGUGAUCCUUCGAAGUUGCGCGCUCGACAGGGAUCAAAGAACUUGGCGUGGCGAUGUCUGAGAGAUGGGAAGGGGGGUGGAUCAACUCGCCUUAGGAUGAAGCUUCAGGCAUCUUCAGCGGAAGAGCUGGACGAAGACGAAGACAACGACGAAGAAAAAGGAAAGGGGAGGAGAAAAGGAGGACGAGGACGCGAGUAUAAGAUGAGGGUUUUUGGUGAGAAGGACAUAGGAGAGGGGUGGCGGGGGAUCAGUGGAAAGGGAUGAGAAAAUCGUGGAGUUUGAGACGACGUUGAGGAAGAAAGGGGGAAGGCGCAAGCAAACGCGGAAUACAAAGCAGCGGCCGAAGAACCAUCGGGUAGGAGGCAGAAGAGAGGAAGUGGGAGGGGGAUGAGUAGGUGGAGAGAGAGAAAGAGAGAGAGGGUGCACGGGGAGCCCAGAGCGCGCCUUCCCAAAGACCAGACCUCCUGCUGUCUAUUCAAACCGCAUAUGAUUUACCGCUGUGGAUAAUCUGUAAAUAUAUUUAUUUUGAUUUUGUACACAACAUGAUUUUAUUUUGUCCUGCGUGUUGCACACCCCUUUUUUCUUUUAGAUUAGAUUUACUCCGGGGCAAAAGAAGCGAGAUAGAGUCGCUGGAUCUGCUAAAUCUGAAAAAUUAUCUAUUUGUUUCUGUCACUCUUUCUGCCAUAUUCUUAAAUUGUAAAAUAAAAUACUAAUAUUUUUACAUGUGUGUGUACGUAUGUGGAACGAUAUGAAAGCCUUAAAGUGAAAACUGAGACACUCAGCUUGUAAAAUCUUAUUGCACAUAAUUAGAUGUUAUGUACAAAUAAAAACAUAUAUGCAAAGCAA